CACGCUGUAAACGAUGAUUACUCGUUGUUGGGCAGUGAUGCUCAGUGGCUAAGCGAAAGCGAUAAGUAAUCCACCUGGGGAGUACGAUCGCAAGGUUGAAACUCAAAGGAAUUGACGGGGGCCCGCACAAGCGGAGGAGCAUGUGGUUUAAUUCGAUGAUACGCGAGGAACCUUACCCGGGCUUGAACGUAAGACGAAUAUAUAAGAGAUUAUAUAGCCUUCGGGCGUCUUGCGAGGUGC
rnacentral:rRNA from 2 species